ensembl:lncRNA
AUGACCCAGCUAGAACAAGAAAUACCCCAAAUCAGAGGAGCCACAAUCUUCUCUACACUUGAUGUGGCCUCUGGAUUCUGGACCAUUCCGGUGCACCUGGAAAACCAACACAAGCUGGCAUUCACAUUUGGCAACCGACAGUUCACCUUCAACAGGUGCCCGUUCAGCUACGCCAACUCACCAGCUGAAUUCAACAUCUUUCUGAACAAAGCAUGUACAGACUCUAACUAUGCCAGACUCAGUUUUGUGUGCCAUCUUCCGAGCUGGAAACAGAAUGGUUUCAAAACUGCAAACAACAAGCCAGUCAAACACCAACACCUGUUCCAGGAACGUGAUAACAUCACAAAAACACACAAUGUGACUGUGUACUGGAAGAAGGUAAAAGGACACUCGAAGCUACCAGGUCUCGACAAGGACUUAAAUGUUCAAACUGACACCCUCGCCAAAACUGGCGCACUAAACAACAGGCUGUGGUCACUCCCAACCCACCCACCCACUUUCAAGGUUAAAGUGAUUACACACAGCAUAAGAACUUUACAAACUAGACUGCCUACCUCAGAGCCACUUACGCUGGCUCCGCUGUUUACAAAUACCAACAUAGCAGACGAGCGGGUUUCUGACACCUCCAUAAAGACUUUGCUUAACCACCUCUCAAACCCCUCCAUCCACCCUUGCACGCUGUCUACACUCACUGACAACCAGUGCCUCAGACCACUGCAUGAAACAAAGCACAUGCUGCGUGCACAGAACAACACUGUGGGUCGUGCACCAUCUGACAUCACAAUGCCAAGGCUUGUUAUGCCACGGCGCAAAAGGGGGAUAAUGCCAAUGUAUUUCCAUGACGCAUCAUGUGCUGCACAACACAGCACCAGAGCCACUGACGAGACACUGAAGCAAGCGUCAUGCCAACAGCAAGAUGUGGCAAAACAUGGGCCAAGGCGAGCUAAACCCAGUCGCCGCCCACAAAGUAAAGAGACUGCCCUGUCCAACCAAAGACAACCCUCGCUUGUUUCUUCCUCCCCUUUUUGUCUCUCUCUCCCUGUUGUCUGUACCAGGAUGCUGCUGUGGUUCGCCAUGCUGUGCUGUCAGCCAACCAGAGGACGGCUGCCACCGAGAGAACAACUGAGACUCCUGACCACCGACUACAGACCACACUACCCCAGCACCGUAGCCCAAAACAGCUGGGCAGGUGCCCGAUGGACAGAGAACUCCCUCACUCACGCUGAGGCCGAUGUCAAACACGUGUUCAGCCAACGUGAGAAAAUGACUGUUACACAAGUGGAGUUAGUUGGACACAACCACCACUCCAAACGGUUCCUGGGAGCUUUGCUCGGAGCCGCCGCUGCCGCCAAAACUCUGUUUAACAUUGGUAUGUCCAGUGUCAAUGCAGCGAACCAGGCCGUGAACUCCAUGAAACCGCUGUUUACUGCCUUCCAGAAUGACUUUGCCAAGACUCAGCUGGUUACAGCGCUAACAACAGACAUGCUGUGGGAGGUUAACUCCUCCAAUGACAGCCUAACCACGGGUAGAAUCCCACCUUACAUGAUACCCUUAAGCCUUGUGCUAACUGUGCUGGCUUCCGCCAUCACCACGCCAGCUGACCCACUACAAAUACACCUGGCCUACUCUCUGGGUAGCGCCAUCCUACUGCACGUCAAUCCCGAGCAGAGGGAAGUGGAUGUGCUCCUGAACCAACCCAUCAGUGAGUCAAGCCAAGUCUACAGACUUAAAGACAUUGUCAAUGUCAGGUUUUGGAAAAGCAACACCCACACCAAGACACACAUUCCAGAUGUGGUGGCCUACCACGACAGCGACACACAGCUGUACCUGGCCCCAAACCUGCACAUGUGUACUUUGACCAAAGACAUUCAUUAUCUCUGCCUUAGCAAACCCUUCCUCAGAAACAACACUGAAGGAAUCUGCGGGUUGCAAACCCUGGUCAGCGACACACACUGCCCUGCCGAAUCCAAGCCUCGUACACAAGUCACAGAGACGCAAGCAGAGAUUGUAGGUGACAGAUGGCUCGUCAACACUCCCGUGCGUACAGCUACUCUCACUUACGACCAGCAUGACACAACCAGCCGUGUCAACGUGCCCAACCCGAAUAGGGGGAUUCAAGUACCGAAAGGUGCCACGCCCUACCUUCACGACCUGGCCUUAUACCAUUUUCUGAGUGAAGAGUACCAGACAGCACUGGAACUCCCAUCCUUCAAGAAUUACAACCUCAUCUUAGAUCCAGAACUGGAACUCUGGAUUGAGGAAAGGGGGUCCCGACACAUUGACAUUGCUCCCGUCGACACAGCCCUCCAAGCACUGUCUCGACGGCCCGUUCUGAACCCGUCAUCUGCGGUCCGAGCCUGGACCGCUGCCGACAUUGCACUGUGCAUCUCUACAGGUCUCAGACAGAAUCCCCGGAAGGGGGGGUGCCAAGUCCGAGACCACACUGAACCUCAUCAAGCUGAAUCCUCAGCUCCAGGAACCACCUGCCAUUAUGAUCCACCUGCUACAUGA